UGCGUAGGUGGCAAGCGUUAUCCGGAUUUAUUGGGCGUAAAGGGAACGCAGGCGGUCUUUUAAGUCUGAUGUGAAAGCCUUCGGCUUAACCGGAGUAGUGCAUUGGAAACUGGGAGACUUGAGUGCAGAAGAGGAGAGUGGAACUCCAUGUGUAGCGGUGAAAUGCGUAGAUAUAUGGAGGAACACCGGUGGCGAAAGCGGCUCUCUGGCCUGUAACUGACACUGAGGCUCGAAAGCGUGGGGAGCAAACAGG
rnacentral:rRNA from 1 species